rnacentral:rRNA from 1 species
UACGUAGGGGGCUAGCGUUGUCCGGAAUCAUUGGGCGUAAAGCGCGUGUAGGCGGCCCGGUAAGUCCGCUGUGAAAGUCGGGGGCUCAACCCUCGAAUGCCGGUGGAUACUGUCGGGCUAGAGUACGGAAGAGGCGAGUGGAAUUCCUGGUGUAGCGGUGAAAUGCGCAGAUAUCAAGGAGGAACACCAAUUGCGAAGGCAGCUCGCUGGGACGUCACUGACGCUGAGACGCGAAAGCGUGGGGAGCAACAGG